UGGGUUGCUUUUUUUAUUGAAGCCAAAACAACUGUCCAGCCAUCCUUCCACAGACUACAUGUUAGAGAUCACAGGAUAUGAUGACGUUGGAGACAGUGAUGAGGGACCCAUAUCAGAGGGGCUGGGUGAUUAUGAUGACAUCGCCACGGAUGACAAUGAUGCUAAAAUGACUAAGGAUGAGUUGGAGGAGACAAGCAUACCAAUGAAUAAGAACAGGAGUAUGAUGACAUCACUAAUGAAGAUGACCUUCAAUUGACAUCAGGUAUUGCAUAGAUGAUGACAGCAGAACAAGGUCAAGAGUUUAUGGUGUCAUCACUGGUGAGCAGUCCAUU